UUGAAUUCUUUGGAAUGUGUGCGCUGAGAGUAAUGGCGACGGGGAAAGACGUUCUUUUGUCACAUUCGCAGUCGGUAAAGGUUGAAAGUGCGACGGGAGCGAUGGAAGCCACAGUGGCCCGGGAGGGGUUUCUAAACACCUCUGGAAGGCAAUGAAAACUAAAAAUGAAUCUACAGGUGCUGCAUUUCCAGAUCCAGGCCCUUGCCCAGAAAGCGGUUCCAGUUUAGUGGUCGCCAUCUUGACUGGGUUCCUAUCGUGAGUGGGGUUCUAACGGUCUCAGCUGGGUCCUAGCGCCAGGCGUGUAACCGUAAUUAACAAUGGGGUUUUUAGCAGCAUCACCCAUUCCCAGCCACAGCUGACCUAUGCAGCCUCGAGUUGCCAUGGGCCUUGGAUACAUUCAGUUGAGUGGCUGUGGCUGCAACUCCUGAUACGUAGAAGAGCUGAACUUCUCGUUUUGUGUCACUUCAGCCCUGAUUUCUCAUCUGUGGCUGCUCAACGUGGAGAAGAGUUGGUGAGUCAGGGAAUUCUGGCUAAAACAGCAUUCUGUAAUACUUGGGUAAACCCAUAGGAGUGGGACAUGUAUUAUUACUGAGCAUUCUUAUUUAAGAAACUGGAACAGUCAUCAGCCCAGCGAGCUUUCUCUAUCAUUCUGGUAAGAUCAUGGCUGAUCAGAUUGUUACUUUAAUUCUACUUUCCUGCCUGCCCUCCAUGAGAAGUGUCUUCCAUGCCCAGCUGUCCCUGGGCACACACUGCUGACCAUUACAUUUGAUACCUUCCACAAUGGUAACAUGUCAGCAUAAGGGGAGGCAAUCAUCUCGUGGUAUUCUCACUGGCCUGUUAAUCCAGAGACGUAGGUGUUGUUCUGGGGACCUGGGUUUGAAUCUUGCCACGGCAGAUGGUGGAAAUUGAUUUAAAUAAAUAGCUAGAAUUAAGAGUCUAAUGAUGACCGUGAAUCCAUUGUCGAUUGUUGGAAAAAUCAUCUGGCUCACUAAAGUUCUUCAGGGAUGGAAAUUGCCAUCCUGACCUGGUCUGGCCUACAUGUGACUCGAGGCCCACAGCAAUGUGUUUGACUCGUAACUGCCGUCUGGGCAAUUAGGGAUGGGCAAUAAGUGUUGGCCUAGCCAGCGGUGCCCUCAUCCCAGGAAGGAAUAUGGAGUAAAAAAACAUGUCUCAUUGACACUGGGAAUUUCCUCAUGACUUUGUUCUUUAUUUUUGCUUUUAUUAGUUUGAGUGGAAAGAACAUUCUGUCACAGAAAUAUUACAGUGUGGAAGGAGACCUUUUGACCAGCCAUGUCUGCACUGGCUCUUCACAAUAUCAAUCUGACUGACUGAGAAGCUAGAAUUAUUUGCUCCAAAUUGCCAUCAAUGGACUGAUCAUGAUUCUGGCAUUGAGGUUGUUGACUUGCUCACCGAGCUGGCUUGUUUUUGUUUUCAAGGUGAGCAAGUCAACAAUCUCACCCACGACCUGAGCUACAAAUCGUUGCAAAAUACUGACAUUCUGUAUUUCUUUUACAAAGGAUUGGGAGAAGCGGAUUUGUGAAUGGCAAAUGCAAAGUAAACAUCACUAGUCAGGAUCUGAUUAUCAUCAGCUUUUCAAUGUGGAAAUAGAAAUGCUUGCCUCUUCUGUCUGUUGGGGAAAACUUCAUCGUGAGACACAGAAACACCCAAAUGAGAAUGUUACCGUGCACUGACUGUGUAAAGAGCUUUAACCAAUUACGAUGCCUGAAUAAGCAUUCCACCAUUCUCAACCCAGAGAAAUUACACGUUUUUUAAUGUAAAAGAGGUUUCAGCAAAUCAUCCAACCUGGAGAGACACAAAGACACCAGCACCAUGGACAAACCAUGGAAAUGUGAGAACUGUGGGAAGAGAUUCAGUUGGCCAUCCCAGCUGGAAAUACAUGGACGCACUCACACGGGGGACAGGCCGUUCACCUGCUCCAAGUGUGGAAGAGGAUUCAGAGAGUCAACCAACCUGCUUGCUCACCAGCGGGUUCACACUAAUGACAGACCUUUUAAAUGUUCAGACUGUGGAAAGUGCUACAAAUGUUCUGGGGACCUGAUGUCCCAUAAACGUGUUCACACCAAUGAGAAACCUUUCAGGUGCUCUCACUGCAAGACUGGAUUCAGAAAAUCACCUGAACUCUGUGUACAUCAGCGCACCCACACUGGGGAGAGGCCAUAUACCUGCUCUGCAUGCAGGAAGGGAUUCAUUAAUUCAUCCAACCUGUUGAGACACCAGCGAGUUCAUUCUGCGAAGAGAACUUUUAAAUGUUCUGACUGUGAGGAGACUUUUAAAAGUAGCAAUAACCUGCUGAGACACCAACGCACUCACACUGGAGAGAAGCCAUUCACCUGCUCUGUGUGUAGGAAAGCAUUUACAUGAUCAUCGACCCUAGUCACACACCAGCGAAUUCACACUGGGGAGCAACCAUUCACCUGCUCCGUGUGUGUAAAGAAAUUCACAUGUGCAUCUCACCUUCUGAAACACGAACGCACUCCUACAGAGGACAGGCCAUUUAUUUGCUCUGUUUGUGGGAAGGGAUUCACUGAGUCAUCCAAUCUGCUGCAACAUCAGCGAGUUCACAACUGACUGGGAGUCAGAUUCUGACAGUAUUGCUGCUGGUCGUUACAGCCAGGACUGAACUAGCAAGUUGAUCUUGAGGAGAGCAAGAAGUGCGUUCCAGCCAUUUUCUUCCAUGGCACAGAAAUCCUAGCCCUUGAUCAGAAAACCCUUUACAAUUGUGUAUAAAGUCAGAAAUAACAAUGAUGAAAGCUGGAAAUGUGCUGUCAAAUCAAAAUUGGUGUAGAACGAUGACCUUUCCUGGCUGGAAGUUAAUGGGCACAUUUCUGCUUUCCCUACAUUAGUAAACACAAAACUGGAACAAAACCUUCCAUUGCUAAUAUGGCAUCUCUCAGCCUUCUCUUUUCCAAGGAAAAGAUCUUCAGGCUUUCCUAAUAUUAGAUGGAGAAUAUGUACAAGUGGAAAACUCAAAUAUCACAUCAGGAUCUGACAGUGAUGCUUGAUUCCUGGAAACAGAAAGCACCCCAUUCACAGAGUGAAGAAACUGCAACACGUUGUGGAUGUGGAUGAGGCUACAGUUGAUCAUCUGGAUUGAGAAAACACAAGCAGAGUCACACUGGGGAGAAACCAUGUAAAUGUAGGGACUGUGAGAAUGUAUUCAAUUAUUCAUAUGAGCUGGAAUAUCAUUGACGCAGUCAUCCAGGAGAGAGGUUGUUCUGUUGCAGUGAAUGUGGUGAAGCAUUUGUUCAUUUAUCCACCUUGCUGAUGGCCUAGCAGGUUCACACUGGAGAGAGGCCAUUUAACUUUUCUGUGUGUGGGAAGAGGUGCAUAUUUUUACUUGCAAAAUUGAGACAGUGUCAUUGCUGUGACUGGGAUAAGAGUUUUAAAUGUCCAUGUGGACUGAGGGAGAACCAGCACAUUCCCAUUGGGUACUCCCCAUUCCAAAGCUCUUACUGCAGCAAGAAAUUCAGGCGAUCAUCCAGCCUGUCGAUACAUCAGUGAAUUCACACUGGGGGGAGAGCUUUCACAUGCUCUUGUGUGUGGGAAGGGAUUCAUUAAUUCGUUCAAGCUGCUAGUACCCCAGUAUCUACACUGGCGAGAAAUCUUUCAAAUGCCUAGGUUGCAGGAACUAUGAAAAGAAAUUUGGACAAGUGCUCGAAAGAACAUAGUUUCAGGCUGAUUGAGGAGGCAGCGGUGGAGAGGGUGAAGUUUGAAACCCAGUCAUGUCACUGCAGACAGGUCGCCAUGACAACACUGACAAACAUUCCGUUCCACAUUGUUUCACACAAGUGGCUAGAAUGUCAGAGUAAAAUCUUAAAUAAUGGGGAAGGUUAUUAUCUGAAAUGUGCAGCCAGAGAGGGUGGUAGAGGCAGAUUUACUGGAGAUUUACAAGAGGAGAUUGUCACUCGGUGAAUUUCUCAGUCAGGUGGUCACCCAAGUGUUACAGGAAGAAGCUGAAGGAUUGAUAAUUGCUGAUUUGAGACUCAGGCACCAGCACCAGCACCACCAUCAGCUUCCAACUCCCCACUCCCUCAAUAAUAAACCCUCCAGUGCAGACUGUUAACUGGUAUCAAUUUCCCUCUGCAUCUUACAAUUGGGGCACUGUCGAAUGGAGGUUAGUGCUUGUUCAGCAAUUCCAUGUAACUACCGCAGUGCAAGUUCUGUUCUGCAGCCUCUGAGCUGAAUGGCCUGAAAAAGUUCCUGUUGCCCUGCCCUUACUUGGCCUGUUUGGGCCCACGACCUUUUGGAAAGUUGCUCAGUGGCGAAGUGUGAAAAUAUUGCCCACUUGAAUUGAGUUUUGUGUCCUACAGAAAGGAGUCUGGAGGUGUGGUGUCAUGAUGCAAUGAUAAACAGCCUCGCUCUCCAUCUCAGCAAAACAAAAGAACUAAGCAUUGACUUCAGGAAGAAGGGAGGAGAACACAUUCCCAUCUAAGUCAACAGAGCAGAAAUUGAGAGUUAAGUUUCCAGGAGUGAUGAUAAUCAACAAACUGGUCUGGACUUACCAGUUAGAUGUGACUGUCAAGAAGGCACAACGACGUCUCUUCUUCUGCAGGCAGCUUAGGAAAUUUGCCAAGGUCAUAAGGACCAUCACCAACUUUUACAGAUGCACCACUGAAAGCAUACUGCCCGGGUUCAAAAUGCCCUGGUACGGCAACUGCUCUGCCCAGGACUGUACAAACUGUAGAAGACUGUGCGCAGGCCACACCAUCAUGGAAGCCAACCUUCCACCCAUGGACUACAUGCCUACAAAGUAAGGCUACCAACAUCAUAAAAGACCCCUCCCACUGUGUAAUGCUCUCCCACAACCUCUUCCGUCAGGCAGAAAAUACAGUAGCUUGAACAAACACCAGCAGGUUCAAGAACAGCUUUUUCCCAGACAUUAUUAGACUGAUGAAUGGACUAUCUAACUUCAAAUCAUGUUAAAAUGCUGAUCUUGCUCUGCAUAUCUCCUGUGUGACGUAAGCUACACACCUCAAACUGUCCCAGCAUCCUUUGACCUGUUUUUCCUUGCUUACUAUGAUUUGCCUGCAGUGGUCACAAGACAAAGUUUUACACCGUACACAUGGCAGUCAAUAAAUAAUGUCAAAUCUUGAGGUGUUCUCUCGUCUAGUCAGGGCUGUCCUCACCGUAGUCCUCCCUCCAGUCUGAUUGCUAGGUUUCACCUCUGAGCCCUUCACCAACUGCUGUCUUGCUGCUGAUCUUGACCUCAGGCAUUUUCUUGCUGCUAACCACCAUUUCUCUAGGUGUAGUCACCGUGUGCCUCAAAGUCUGAAUAUCAGUUUCUGAGAGCUUGGGACAGACUGGACAGGACAUAAUACCAUUUAAGACAAGCGCCGUUGUUUACUAUAAACCCAUGUGCAGUGGCAUCUGAUGGGCAGAAUAGUCUACUCCCGUGUUGCUAUGACUUGUAAUGUUUUUUUAAUGUACUUUUCUUUAUCCUGGUAUUUAACAAAAUAAAACAGAGAAAUCCUAGAAAGAUA